rnacentral:rRNA from 1 species
UACAGAGGUGGCAAGCGUUGUUCGGAUUUACUGGGCGUAAAGAGCGCGCAGGCGGUCGUUCAAGUCGCGUGUGAAAGCCCCCGGCUCAACUGGGGAGGGUCACGCGAUACUGAUCGACUCGAAGGCAGGAGAGGGUAGUGGAAUUCCCGGUGUAGUGGUGAAAUGCGUAGAUAUCGGGAGGAACACCAGUGGCGAAGGCGACUACCUGGCCUGUUCUUGACGCUGAGGCGCGAAAGCUAGGGGAGCAAACGGG